AUUGAACGCUGGCGGCAUGCCUUACACAUGCAAGUCGAACGGCAGCGGACCUUCGGGUGCCGGCGAGUGGCGAACGGGUGAGUAAUAUAUCGGAACGUACCUUUCAGUGGGGGAUAACGUAGCGAAAGUUACGCUAAUACCGCAUAUUCUGUGAGCAGGAAAGCAGGGGAUCGCAAGACCUUGCGCUGAUUGAGCGGCCGAUAUCAGAUUAGCUAGUUGGUGAGGUAAAGGCUCACCAAGGCGACGAUCUGUAGCGGGUCUGAGAGGAUGGUCCGCCACACUGGAACUGAGACACGGUCCAGACUCCUACGGGAGGCAGCAGUGGGGAAUUUUGGACAAUGGGCGCAAGCCUGAUCCAGCCAUGCCGCGUGAGUGAAGAAGGCCUCGGUUGUUAAGACUCUUUCGUCCGGAGGAAAUACGCACAGGUAAUAACCUCGUGUGGAGUGACGGUACCGGAAGUAAGAAGAC
rnacentral:rRNA from 1 species